AAAUGCGAUAACUAAUGUGAAUUGCAGAAUUCAGUGAAUCAUCGAGUCUUUGAACGCACAUUGCGCCCUCUGGUAUUCCGGAGGGCAUGCCUGUCCGAGCGUCAUUGCUGCCCUCAAGCACGGCUUGUGUGUUGGGCCCCGUCCCCCCCGCUCCGGGGGGGACGGGCCCGAAAGGCAGCGGCGGCACCGCGUCCGGUCCUCGAGCGUAUGGGGCUUCGUCACCCGCUCUUGUAGGCCCGGCCGGCGCCAGCCGACCCCCAACCUUUUAUUUUUUCUCAGGUUGACCUCGGAUCAGGUAGGGAUACCCGCUGAACUUAAGC
rnacentral:misc_RNA from 1 species